GAUGAACGCUGGCGGCAUGCCUAAUACAUGCAAGUCGAGCGAACGGACGAGAAGCUUGCUUCUCUGAUGUUAGCGGCGGACGGGAGAGUAACACGUGGAUAACCUACCUAUAAGACUGGGAUAACUUCGGGAAACAGGAGCUAAUACCGGAUAAUAUUUUGAACCGCAUGGUUCAAAAGUGAAAGACGGUCUUUCUGUCACUUAUAGAUGAAUCCGCGUUGCAUUAGCUAGUUGGUAAGGUAACGGCUUAACAAGGCAACGAUGCAUAGACGACCUGAGAGGGUGAUCGCACACCCGGGCACUGAGACUGGGCCGAGACUCCGACGGGAGGCCGCAGUAGGGAAUCCUCCGGGAGGGGCGAAUGGCGGAUGGAGCAACGUCGCCUGAGUGAUGAUGGUCCUCGGACGGUAAAACUCUGUAAGUAGGGAGGUUGAUAUGUGUAAGUACCUGUGCACAUAUUGACGGUACCGAAUCAGAAAGCCACGGCUAACUACGUG
rnacentral:rRNA from 1 species